rfam:Picea glauca, whole genome shotgun sequence.
ACAUGCCUACAACAUAGCAUUAAUGCACCACAUCCCAUUAUAACUCUGCAGUUAUGUGUGCUCAGGCUAGAGUAGCACUGGGAUGGGUGACCACUUGGGAAGUCCUAACAUUUUACAUGCC